rnacentral:rRNA from 1 species
UACGGAGGGUGCAAGCGUUAUCCGGAUUCACUGGGUUUAAAGGGAGCGUAGGUGGGUUGGUAAGUCAGUGGUGAAAUCCCCCGAGCUUAACUUGGGAACUGCCAUUGAUACUAUCAGUCUUGAAUACUGUGGAGGUUAGCGGAAUAUGUCAUGUAGCGGUGAAAUGCUUAGAUAUGACAUAGAACACCAAUUGCGAAGGCAGCUGGCUACACAAUUAUUGACACUGAGGCUCGAAAGCGUGGGGAUCAAACAGG